rnacentral:tRNA from 1 species
GGUUCGUUAGCUCAGUGGCAGAGCACCCGGUCGUCACCCGGAAGGCCGCGGGUUCAAUUCCCGCACGGACCG